rnacentral:rRNA from 1 species
UACGAAGGGGGCUAGCGUUGCUCGGAAUCACUGGGCGUAAAGGGUGCGUAGGCGGGUUUUUAAGUCAGGGGUGAAAUCCUGGAGCUCAACUCCAGAACUGCCUUUGAUACUGAAGAUCUCGAGUCCGGGAGAGGUGAGUGGAACUGCGAGUGUAGAGGUGAAAUUCGUAGAUAUUCGCAAGAACACCAGUGGCGAAGGCGGCUCACUGGCCCGGUACUGACGCUGAGGCACGAAAGCGUGGG